AAUGUAGUAAUAAUAAUGCUCAAGGUAUAUGCCGAAGAAGAUCCUUUGUUCUUUGCCCCCACCAUAACCAAAAAGGAAUGCUUUUUCUAUUCUUUAUAGCUCACAAAACUCACCCUCCCAUCGAUCUUCUCUUUCAGCUUAAGGUGUAUGUUCUUCAUCAAUUGCAAUUGAAAUUCGGGUUAUGAUGAUGGCAACAAGCACUUGCAACUUGGAGCAUAACGAUGGUGAUGAUGAUGAUGAAGAAGACACGAAGUAGUUCUGCUUCUCUGUUGAUCAAGUAACCAAUGAUUACUAUUGAAUAUCAUUUGGGCAACUGAAUAUCCUUUGGCACCAAACACAUACAUAUACAUCAUCCUUGCUCCUCUCUAUACCCUUUUCAUUUUCACAACAAAUAAUACUAUACAAGGUUUAUUUAUAUUUUCUAUAUUAGGCAAGUUUAUUAUGGUUGCUUAGUACUAGUUAUUAAUAUUAUUCUAUGCCUUUCAUGUUAUAUUGGACACCAAUUUAAUUUGCAGUGAUAUGAUCAUUUUUGCUUUCGGUUCCUUUUUCUCUUUUUUUUUAGGCUAAUUAUAUUUUUUGCCAUUUGAAAAGCUAACCCCGGAAACAAUGUGUUUAUAUGGCAUAUUCUUAAGUCUAUGACCCUCUUCUUCGGUAAUAACGUGUUGUAUGUGAUUAUAAUUGUCAUUUGAUUUCGUUGUCAACCGUCUCAUCUUGAGAAGAAUUAUUGGCAUAUAGUCAUAUACUGAAUUCUUCAGCUUACUUUUCGAGGAUUAUUGUAUGCGGAUUGGAGAUAUGAGAUCUCAAUAUUAAAUUAACUAUUAAGUAUGAUUUUAUACAUUGAAAUGUUAUCAGGCAAAUUAAAACGGGAUAAUUAAGCUUUCUCCUUCUUUAAUUACCCAUAUCAUCCAAUGACCAAUAGUAAGCUACACAAAUAAAUAGCAAAUAAAAAAGGUUAUAGAACAGAAGUUACGUAACGAGUUUAGAGAAAAAUUUAUUGAACUGCGUUAAGGUGAUAAUGAUACAUCUUCAUAAUGUGUACAAUAAAUUUUAAAUUUGGUCUAAUACAAGAAAAUAAAAAUUCAAAUAGUUAUUUCAAAAAAUCAAUCAUUCCAAUUCUAAUUUACUAAUAGAAUUUACCUAAACAUCCUCUAUCUCCCUCCUAAUUUCACUAGGAAGACAAUGAAAAAUUUUGACAAUGUGUUCAAUGAAUUUUAAAUGAGGUCCAAUACAAGGAAAAAAAAAUCCAAACAAUUUUUUCAAAAAAUUAAUCAUUCCAACUCUAGUUUACCAAUAGAAUUUACUCAAACACUCUCUUCUCCCCCCUCUCCAACUGUCUGCUAUCCCAUUCUCAUCAAUCAUCUCACCUCUCCGACGUUAGAAACUCCGUCUCCCUCAUACAAUUAAUCACCCGACUAUCUAGUGAAAUGACAAUCUAGCAUUUGUUAAAAUAACCAUCUACAUAUUUAGGAAAUUAAACAUCUAGUAUCUAAAUUCGUCAGUCUUCAACCCACUCGAAGCGAACUCGGACACAAAAUCCUCGAUCCUCUCUAUUGGCCUCUCCGCCAAAUGCUUCCUUCGGAAUCAUCAAUACGAACAAAUGACGAAAGCCAAGCCAGAGAGGAGAACCCACACGGAACCAGGGGGCACUUGUGGCCGCCGCUGCCGUCGGCCUUUCCAGCGAGUGCUACGACGAAGGCGAGAAGGAUCUAGGCCGCGACGUCGUUGAAGGCGGCGGCGGCCAUGACGGUCUUGGACUGUACGAUGAACGCAAUGUGCGUAAAGGGGGUGUCUUCGUCAGACAUUCUUGGACAGUUGGACGGCGUCGAGUUGCGUUCUAGGCAGCAGACGGUGGUGAUCUUAGCGGCGUCAGUUUGGAGAGAGUGGAAGAAACUGCCAAAGAAAAAGAAACUGCAGCACGUUCUUUGAAAAGCAUUGAAUUUGUUGAACCUAGUUAGGGUUUGGUUAGUUAUAAGAGGCUUGUUGCACAAUAUGAGAUUUCAUCAAUGUGUUAUUCAAUUGAAUUGUAUAUUGGCAGCCCAAAAAGGGAUAAUUGAAUUGUAUGAGAAAAUUGACGUUGAAUAAUUAGCCUUGACUUGACAAUGUAUCCUGUAAGAUCUUUAAUUUUUUGCAGUUUGAGUGCCUCGGUAAGUUGUUUUAAAGUCAUCAAUAAAUUUAACUCUGAAUAUUAUCAAUGAACUUUUCAUCUUCAAUUUUUAUUAUAUCUUAAAUUUUAUUAAUUGGUGGUUCUUCUGAAUGCAAAGGUAACUAGAAUUGAAAGCCACGUAUCUAUUGGCAAUUAUUUUUUACAAACAAAUAAAUGAAAUUUUCGUUUGUGCUUCCCACAUGCUGAUGUGCAUAUUCAUAUUAAAGUUUAGAUUAUAUUAUUCCUAUUACCGGAUUAUCCUAUGUAUGUAUGUACAAUUGACUCAAUUAAAGGCUCACCCAACUGAUGUGUGCCACGUGCCAUGUGCGAAUGAUAGAGCAUUUUUGUCUCUAAUAAUAAUAUUAGAACAUAGCAUUAGUUAAUUAUUUUGUUUUUGUAAAGAAAACAGUAAAAACAAACAAGGGUCUUCUUCAAAGAUUAAUAACGUCGUAAAAUUGCUAGGCCAAGUAUAUUCUUCUAAAAAAGAAAAAGUUUGAUGAAAAGUAGGAUCCUUAUUCUUUAGGCUCAUCCACAUUCAACAAUAUAAUAAUUAAUUAAUUAAGAAUUCGUAUAAUAUAAUUAAAAAGAUGCCAAAAUUAAAGGUAUAAUAUAUAAUAUGUGAAAACAUAAUGAAUGGGGCCAGAGCAUAAUGUAGUAAUAAUAAUGCUCAAGGUAUAUGCCGAAGAAGAUCCUUUGUUCUUUGCCCCCACCAUAACCAAAAAGGAAUGCUUUUUCUAUUCUUUAUAGCUCACAAAACUCACCCUCCCAUCGAUCUUCUCUUUCAGCUUAAGGUGUAUGUUCUUCAUCAAUUGCAAUUGAAAUUCGGGUUAUGAUGAUGGCAACAAGCACUUGCAACUUGGAGCAUAACGAUGGUGAUGAUGAUGAUGAAGAAGACACGAAGUAGUUCUGCUUCUCUGUUGAUCAAGUAACCAAUGAUUACUAUUGAAUAUCAUUUGGGCAACUGAAUAUCCUUUGGCACCAAACACAUACAUAUACAUCAUCCUUGCUCCUCUCUAUACCCUUUUCAUUUUCACAACAAAUAAUACUAUACAAGGUUUAUUUAUAUUUUCUAUAUUAGGCAAGUUUAUUAUGGUUGCUUAGUACUAGUUAUUAAUAUUAUUCUAUGCCUUUCAUGUUAUAUUGGACACCAAUUUAAUUUGCAGUGAUAUGAUCAUUUUUGCUUUCGGUUCCUUUUUCUCUUUUUUUUUAGGCUAAUUAUAUUUUUUGCCAUUUGAAAAGCUAACCCCGGAAAC
rnacentral:lncRNA from 1 species